AUUCGCACCGAUUGAGAAUUGGCAGAGAUGUAAAAAAGAAAAGGUGAGGAAAGAGAGAUAAUUGAUGUAUGUGUGAAGCCGACUGCAAGUCAAAACCACCAAACUUCAUAUUCUCCGGAUUGGAUAAUCCAAGCAGCAAAAAAAUCUGACCCUUCACUUCGCCGAAAGGCCGAAAGAAUCGAGCAGGAAUGAGCGGUUGAUCAGGUCGGAUUCCGUCUUCCUUCUCAGGCUCUGUUUGCGGAGCUUCCGGAUUCAAUUGAAUCAUCAUCGUCUUCUUCAACCUCGUUAAUCGGAAGAAUAGUGUUAUCGGUUUCAUUUUUCCUGCUUUAUUGGCUAUUCUAUUCGUUUUCAUUUCAAACGAAGUUGUUGUGAUGAUGGCUUUGGCGACGAAGAUGAGAAGAAAUGCAUGCAUCGUCACCAAUUGUCUUGUGGCGUCUGGAAAAUUAAAUUUCCUAUCGGUGGGCUCUGAAAACGCAUCUUACUCCAUGAUCAGAAAAGUUAAUGGUUUUACAACAUUCGGGGAACAACUGGAUGCUUCGAGGAUGUAUGCUACGUCUUGUGCUAAGUUGUCGGAUGAAAUCCAGAAAGAAACCUCCAACUCUAAUAUGUUGGUUGAUUCAUUUGGGAGGAUGCACACUUACUUGAGGAUAUCAUUGACAGAACGCUGCAACUUGAGAUGUCAGUACUGUAUGCCUGCGGAAGGUGUAGACCUGACUUCCAGCUCCAAACUUCUUACUCGAAACGAAAUUAUUCGAUUGGCUAAUCUUUUUGUAAGCUCUGGUGUCAAUAAAAUUCGCUUGACUGGUGGGGAGCCUACCAUUAGGAAAGAUAUUGAGGAUAUAUGUUUAGAGCUGUCUAAUUUAAAAGGUUUGAAGACACUGGCUAUGACCACGAAUGGAAUUGUGCUUGCCAGAAAACUCCCGAAGCUGAAAGAAUGUGGGCUUACUGCUAUUAAUAUUAGUUUGGAUACUUUGGUUCCAGCAAAGUUUGAAUUCAUGACCCGACGCAAGGGGCAUGAAAAGGUCAUGGAAUCUAUCAAUGCUGCGAUAGACCUUGGUUACAAUCCUGUUAAAGUGAAUUGUGUUAUAAUGCGUGGUUUCAAUGAUGAUGAGAUUUGCAAUUUUGUUGAGCUGACUCGUAAUAAACCAAUUAAUAUUCGGUUCAUUGAGUUUAUGCCCUUUGAUGGAAAUGUUUGGAAUGUAAAGAAAUUGGUACCCUACUCAGAAAUUUUGCAAACAGUGGAUAAACACUUUACAGGCCUGACACGACUUGGGGAUCAUCCCACAGAGACAGCGAAGAACUUCAGAAUAGAUGGGCACCUGGGUACAGUUUCUUUUAUCACGUCGAUGACUGAGCAUUUUUGUGCUGGUUGCAAUAGAUUGCGACUUUUAGCAGAUGGAAACUUUAAAGUCUGCUUAUUUGGUCCGUCAGAGGUUAGCUUGAGAGACCCACUUCGUCAUGGUGCUGAUGAUAAUGGGCUUAGGGAAAUAAUUGGUGCAGCGGUACUUAACUUUAUUUUCUCAAGAUGCCUUAAACUUCUUAUUCCUAACAGUUAUUUGAUUCGAAGCAUCAACUUAUAUACAUAUUUCCAUAUUUCGGAAUACGCGUUUAUUUGGGUACUGCACGUAAUUUUACUCCUGUACCUCAGGUAAGAAGAAAGAAAUCUUCACAUGCUGGAAUGUUUGACAUUGCAAAGACUGCAAAUAGACCUAUGAUACACAUUGGUGGAUAAUCUAAACUUGGUCCCAUUUCUGUCCAACUAGCUUGACUAGAGUAGAGCCCUGUUGGUAUACAUGGAUACCGUCGAGAUCAAAGUCAAAACUGUAGUGCUAAUAUGAAGAAGCCUGGUAAGUGAAAAACCAUAAAAAGGCAUACACUACACUAGUUAGUAUUGUAAAAGAUAUGUCUGGCUGAUUCAUGUGCAACUUUGGUUGGUAACAUUAUGAUGCCAGUUGUAAUUUAAAUGCUAAUAUAGAGUGGUUAGUGUUGUUUAUUUUGCAUCUUAACUUUAGAAGACGUCGCUCAUCAAAUCAAAUAGAAAACCAUGCAUUUGGGUAACCUCCCGUUUAUA